GUAAAUAUAGUUUAAAUUAAAAUGUUAGAUUGUGAUUCUAUAGACAGAGGUUAGACUCCUCUUAUUUGCC
rnacentral:tRNA from 1 species